UAGAAAUAAAUAAUAAGACACUAAAUUAGAAUCAGGCUAGGUUAGGCUAAUAAAUAUCUUAGCCUACCCUAGCCUUCAGGUGAAACCUGUUUUAUGUUCUAAACUAAAUUUUAUUGUUUGAUUUGUUGCUUUACAUUUCUAAAUGAUCAUUGGGGGUCUACAGCUCCACAGAACAGAUAGGUCACCCAGCCUAAUGGUGAAAACUGUUUAUGUGUACUCUCUUUAGAAAUAGAGAUCAUCUAUUUUGCAAAAAUAAUAUUAAUAACAAGGGGAGGUCACUACCCCAACUACACCAAAGCCUAAUCUGUUGUUGAGCCUUAGAAAAUGGAAAAACACAGUAAAAGACCUUUAACACUGCUGCUCAGACAAAUGUGCAGUUUCCUAAAGGGAAGCCUGCUUUUCUCUUAAUAAAUCCUCCCACUCUAAUAUACACACAUACACUGUUCCAUGCCCCUGCAGGAGACCUCCUAUUGUCUUGCAGCAGGAACUUUAGGGAAGGGAUGAAGGGAUGUCCUGCCAGGAAGACCAUCAGGCAACUCUGAAAGCUGCUUCCUGAAGGCAGCAGGAAAAUGCUGGGAAGACUGGGAUGAGGCAAAAGUGAAGUGCUGAACAAAUAAAACCUCCGACACAAACAUCUACUGCAGCCAACAACAGCUCAGAGCUGGACAUCACAUGAUGAUGGAUACCGACAGAAGCUGCCAACACACCAGUCCGUCUUUGUAACAGGCUGCCCAGAGACAUCUUUUUUGGGAUGUGCGCAUUCCCAUUCCGUCUGCCUCCUCUACUGCUCACCUUCCUCUUCAACUCUUAACAGUUACUGCACCUGCUGCUUUUACUCUCUUUGUCUCAGCCAUUAUAGAUGCCCCUGUGUCUGCGCAAGAGAAAUGUCAGGAGCCGUGUGUUCACCUUGACACACUGUUUUACCUCACAACUGACCAGAAGUGCGGAAAAAUAAGAAUUGCUCACCGCUGGCUGUCAUUGCAUGGGCCAUGUAUGCAGUAUCCCAGCAGGCUUUGCGUUUUCAACUGACAUACUGAACUGUAGACUGCAGUGAGAAAUGACUACUGGUGUGUUACACUGACCUGCUGCCACCCCAUACUGUGCAUCUAUUUUUGAGGUGACUGUGGUAAGUCAAACCCCAGGGUCCUGUUGCAACAGUCCCCUCUCUCUUGAGAGAGCUAAGGAAAACCAUUAGGAGUUUUGUACUGUACACAUUUAAAAUAACAGGAGUAGAAAAAAUGUUUUUCUUUGUCUAAAUUUGAUAUUUUUGGGAUAAAUUGAAGUAAACCAUGUCACCUUUUUUUAGAUAAAACCUGCAUAAAUGAACACGAAUAUUCAAGUCUAACGGGGGAAAAACAUAAGUACCGGUAGAUGAAAAUGGUUGCAAAAUAUUGAACAAAAAUCUUAAGACUAUCCUGAGCAUAGAUUAGAUCAUUGCAAUUACUGUAAUUGUAAUUGUAAGUGAUAUAAAAAGUAUAAAUACUACGCAUAGGUGGUUCCAUUAUGUGGUACUAACGUACACCUGACUAGGAAGCAGAAAGCAGAUAGUCCACAUAUGUGGUUCCUCCAAGGGGCAGCCUGAUGGAUCUGAUCUGCUGUUAACACAAGAGUUUUCCCCAAGAGUGGGAUCAAUAAAAUUAUUAUUAUUAUUAUUAUUAUUACAUGGGGUCUGUACACUCAAACCAUCAAUACAAUAAGGACAAUGUGACAGUUCAAUGGGUGGUGACAGUAAUGCGGUGAUCAUCCCCUGUAAUUUCUACUGAAUUAUUAAUCUGUCAGUCAGGUUUAUUUAUGAGUCCAUUCAAACUCCAUAUAUCCGGUUCAUUGGUUGUUAACUUAUAUUUCCUCUAAAUAACUCUCCAUUCACACUGAAACAUCAUAUUUCAGCUUAAGUUAAUGGUUUGUGUGUUUUAAGAUAAUUAUCAAUUAGUAUAUAAUAGUUAAAACACACUGAAAGGCUGUAUAACGCUCCAUAAUAAGAAUAAAUAAAUAAAUAAACAGUAGGACUUUUCAGUAUUUUUCCAGUGUCUACAGAGGAUUUCUGCAACUUUACUUUCUGUCAAACUCAACAGCACCUUCUGUAAAUAUCUGGAAGUGACCUUUGCUAAAGGUCUUGGUUCAAACCAGUGUCACUAAAUCUGAACAUCAACAAAUACAGGGGGGGGAGGACUGUACUCCGGAAUCCUGUGGGAACUAAGACAAUGCAGAGCAAAAUUACAGACACUUCUGACAACAGAGUUAAGGGGGAAUUUCCGUCCACAGUUCUGAAACGGCCUCACCCGCCACAGUGUCUGCGAGCAGCUAUUUAUCCUCUGUCUGCCUCAGAUCUACUGUACCAACAACACCAAGUCUGAAUUUAACAUAUAAUAACAUAUAAUUAGACCCAUAAAAUACACAAUUUUCUGCUUUGUUUGUUAACAUUAAUCUUAAUUUUAAGACAAACAAAAAAAAACCCAAAUCAUUGGAUUUAUUAGAUGUGAUAGAAACAACCAAAAUAUAAAAAACUUGAAAUAUAAGAAACAUACAUAAAUUUAACAUCAUUGUGUAAAGAAGUUUAUUUUCUACGGAUGUUUUCCCCCUGUAGUUACAAUAAUAAUAAAAACAACGUGUUAUAAACUUAUAAGUACUGCUAAUGACAACAGACAUUCACGUGUGUGAUCAUC